AGACCUAAACCUGGUGGAGAAGGCAUUGUGAGCAGGAGAAGGUAAUUGUUCUGGGAUCAGGUUCAGCUCCCCCACCCUGGGUGUGCUGACACUACGGUUUUACAAAAAAUCAGGCAUUUGGCUGCAUAAUAUGUGGUCCUAGAGGACUUCACAUUCCUUCUU
rnacentral:snRNA from 12 species